rnacentral:rRNA from 1 species
GACGAACGCUGGCGGCGCGCUUAACACAUGCAAGUCGAGCGAGAACCAGGGCUUCGGCUCUGGGGAAAGCGGCGAACGGGUGAGUAACACGUGAGUAACCUGUCCUCGGCACCGGGAUAGCCCGGGGAAACCCGGAUUAAUACCGGAUAGCCUUUCGAGCUCUCGGGCUCGUCAGAAAAGGUAGCUUCGGCCUCUGGCCGAGGAGGGACUCGCGGCGGAUUAGCUUGUUGGUGAGGUAACGGCUCACCAAGGCGACGAUCCGUAGCUGGUCUGAGAGGACGAUCAGCCACACUGGGACUGAGACACGGCCCAGACUCCUACGGGAGGCAGCAGUGGGGGAAUCUUGCGCAAUGGGCGAAAGCCUGACGCAGCGACGCCGCGUGCGGGAAGAAGGCCU